UACGUAGGGUCCAAGCGUUGUCCGGAAUUAUUGGGCGUAAAGAGCUCGUAGGCGGUUUGUCGCGUCGACUGUGAAAACCCGAGGCUUAACCUCGGGCCUGCAGUCGAUACGGGCAGACUAGAGUUCGGUAGGGGAGACUGGAAUUCCUGGUGUAGCGGUGAAAUGCGCAGAUAUCAGGAGGAACACCGGUGGCGAAGGCGGGUCUCUGGGCCGAUACUGACGCUGAGGAGCGAAAGCGUGGGGAGCGAACAGG
rnacentral:rRNA from 1 species